UUCGCAAAUACCUGAAACGCUACACGUGC
rnacentral:piRNA from 1 species